rnacentral:rRNA from 1 species
GAUGAACGCUGGCGGCGUGCCUAACACAUGCAAGUCGAACGGAGUUAUGAUGUGAGCGGGAAGUGCUUGCACUAAACAAUCUUUUCAUAACUUAGUGGCGGACGGGUGAGUAACGCGUGGGCAACCUGCCCUGUACUGGGGGACAACAGUUGGAAACGACUGCUAAUACCGCAUAAGCGCACGGGAUCGCAUGAUCCUGUGUGAAAAACUCCGGUGGUACAGGAUGGACCCGCGUCUGAUUAGCUGGUUGGUGAGGUAACGGCCCACCAAGGCAACGAUCAGUAGCCGGCCUGAGAGGGUGAACGGCCACAUUGGGGACUGAGACACGGGCCCAAAACUCCUACGGGAGGCAGCAGUNAGGAAUAUUGGUCAAUGGACGAGAGUCUGACCAGCCAAGUAGCGUGCAGGAUGA